GGUGGGGCCAUAGUGUAAUAAAACUCUUCACUGAGGUGUGUCCUCAAAGUUACUUUGCCUUUGGGAUGUGGAUGAGUACUUAAUGGAUACUUCCAUGACUGGUCAAGACCACAAAUGAAAGCUGUUUGUCAGGGCUGGCUAGAUGUCGUGGACCUGACCUGAAUGGCCACCACAGUAAAGGUGAUGUGUAGACAGAGUGGGAGAACUGAGCGUGUAAGACAUCCAAAGAGCCCAGCUAUCCAUUCUGUAUUCGUUGGACGGAGAACUGAUAAGGGCAUGUGUCUGACACUUUCCGCCAAUGAUAGAGAGAGCUGUACAUAAAAUGGUACUACAAAGAAAAACUCUCUCCUGUCCAGCAGCAGCAUUACUACCUGUAUCCUUAACUGGGUCAUUUGGGUAAGUGGAAUUAUAUCUACUCCAGUCUCAAUAUGUUACAACCUAUUCAUAACACUUGUUUGCUUCUUUUUCACAGAAAACUAUUUAAUUUUUUUCUCAGAAAACCCAUGGAAUCAAUCCUCUGAAUGCAUGUGUUUUUUGUAUCCCUUCAGGUUGCUAUUGUUUGCAAGACAUUUGGUGACUCAUACUAGCAUUCAUAGCAACUUCAUUCUGUAUAGAGGUCAAUCUUCUAUUAUUAUGUAUGAGCAAUAUGAAUUGUAUGCUUUCCAAAAACACAAUAGCAAUCCAAAUCCUCCAGCCACACAAGAUUUGCUAGGAUAAACAUGAUUUCCUUUAGUGAGUAAAUGUGGCUAAUCUGCUCAUUCAAAAACCAGAUUGUGCAUCUGUUUGAUAUUCUGAUGUAAUUCAGAAGGCCGAAUUCAACCUGGUGAAUCCAGGCAGGACCCAGAGUAGAGCCCCUCUACACAGCAACAGGUUGGAGACAACAUGGGCCACUAAUUAAACAUUCACUGUAUGAGUUGACUGCCUACUACAGACUGUACUGAGCUCGAGAUGGGUCCUGUGAGAGAGAGCAUUCCUGAAACUGUGGUGGCAGGCAUAAUUACAGAGCAGCAGCACUCAGACAGUCAGGUUUGGCCAACAUUUAAGGCCCUAGGGCAAAAUCCAAAGCACACUUCAAAUCAUGGUGUCUAAUAUAUUGAUGUAAUAUUUAAAUGAUGCAUGAGCGUCAUGAUGACCAAACUCAUUAAUAAAAGAUGAGAUGUUAUGUGGUUUUCAGGUAAAAUGUAAAAAACGUGAGAUAUACUGACGACAAUUAUGAUGAAAAUAAAAAGCUAAUUGCUGUU